rnacentral:piRNA from 1 species
UGGAACUGGAGACCUGGGGAGGAGCC